CAAACAUUUAAAUCAAUCAGAACUUUUUUCUCUCAGCUUGUAUCUGUCUAUCUCUCUCUUCCUCCAUCAUUACUCUUCCUCUCUUUCUCCUCCUCUUUUCCUAUGUGUGUGUGUGACAAGACUGUGUGCUGUCGCUAUCUCCUCCUGUGUGUGUCACAGGAGUGUGUGUUGCUUUCCUCCUGCAUGUGUGUGUGUUCUCUCUCCUCAGGAGUGUGUGUUGGCGUGACAGGGCUUGUUGUGGCAUUGUGUAGCUGUCAGCCCCGCGGCUGGAGGAAGAUGUAUGAAGACACAGAGACAGGAGGACAGGAGUGCGUCAGAGAGGAUUGAGCUGUCACUGAUUCACAGCAAACUGCUCGGUCAUCACACUGCUGCUGCUUAGAGCAGGUCAGCGAGACGGAGAAAUAGAGGAGAUCCAACAUGUCUACUCUUCCCAUCCCGGCGGGAGCGUCAGAAUAGGGAAGCAUUGUUCCACGGAAGAUGGACGGCCCUUCUAAUGUCUGCCUCUGGAAGAAACAAGAAGAAAAGAGGUGAAAGAGAAGAAAAGGAAAGCUUUGGCCUUCAUGAUACUAGCCGUCAGCCAGCCAGGAGCUGCCAGAGCCGUCAGCCAGCCAGGAGCUGCCAGAGCCGUCAGUCAGCCAGGAGCUGCCAGAGCCGUCAGUCAGCCAGGAGCUGCCAGAGCCGUCAGCCAGCCAAGAGCUGCCAGAGCCGUCAGUCAGCCAGGAGCUGCCAGAGCCGUCGAGCUGCCAGAGCCG
ensembl:lncRNA